rnacentral:lncRNA from 1 species
CCACUCGGGCGGGCUCGGAGCGGCGUUCUGAGCAGCGCCGUCUGCUGUCCUCCUUCACUGGCAGCUGUGACAGUGACCUGCUCAAGUUCAACCAGCUCAAGGUGAGGCAGGACCCCACCCAGGGUAGUGGGGUGGGGGGCAGCCUGCGGGACUGAGACCAGGGCUUUCACCUCUCCCCUCCUUCCCUCCCCCAGUUCCGGAAGAAGAAGCUCAAAUUCUGCAAGAGCCACAUUCACGACUGGGGCCUGUUCGCCAUGGAACCCAUCGCGGCUGACGAGAUGGUCAUUGAGUACGUGGGUCAGAACAUCCGCCAGGUGAUCGCGGACAUGCGGGAAAAGCGUUACGAGGACGAGGGCAUUGGCAGCAGCUACAUGUUCCGGGUGGACCACGACACCAUCAUCGAUGCCACCAAGUGCGGCAACUUUGCACGCUUCAUCAACCACAGCUGCAACCCCAACUGCUAUGCCAAGGUGAUCACGGUGGAGUCGCAGAAGAAGAUUGUCAUCUACUCGAAGCAGCACAUCAACGUCAACGAGGAGAUCACCUACGACUACAAGUUCCCCAUCGAGGACGUCAAGAUCCCCUGCCUGUGCGGCUCUGAGAACUGCCGGGGGACCCUCAACUAGGCCCCGCAGAAGGCUGCCCGUGCUGCUCUGGGGCUCCCGAGCGUGGACCCCAGGGCGCCGGGGCCCAGCCCCACCUCCCACCCCCAUUUCAGGUGCUGUCCCCUACCCAGCGGCCAUGUCAGGGCCUGGCGCCCCCAACACUACCCCCAGGACCCAGCGCAGCUCCAGCCCCUCAGUGGGAAAGGGCUUCUCUGUCUCUCAGCCCACGUCUCUUUGGUUUUUUAAAAUGCUCCCUUCAGGACUUUUGUUGAACUCCAGCGUAAACUUCUCUCUGUCCGUGUCUCUCACUCUCCAUCUAUAUGUCUCUGUCCUUCUCUUUUCCCAUCUUCUCCAUCAGCCUCUUCCCAUGAAUGCUGCUAUGUUGUUUUGUCUUCUCUUUACUCUCUUCCUCGUCAUAAGCUUCACCCGCUUGCCCCUAGCCCACACCCCAACUCCCCCUGCCAGCAGCCCCCUCCUCCCAAGAAGGCAAGAGUGUAUUUAUUUUUGGAGUGAGAAGAUUAUUCUCCCAGAGAAAGGAAAAUCUUGGAGAAGAUUUUAA